UACGUAGGGUGCGAGCGUUGUCCGGAAUUAUUGGGCGUAAAGAGCUCGUAGGCGGUCUGUCGCGUCGAAUGUGAAAACCCGGGGCUCAACUCCGGGCUUGCAUUCGAUACGGGCAGGCUAGAGUUCGGUAGGGGAGUCUGGAAUUCCUGGUGUAGCGGUGAAAUGCGCAGAUAUCAGGAGGAACACCGGUGGCGAAGGCGGGACUCUGGGCCACUACUGACGCUGAGAAGCGAAAGCAUGGGGAGCGAACAGG
rnacentral:rRNA from 1 species